AUACUAMCAAGGAUUCCCCGAGUAGCGGCGAGCGAAACGGGAAGAGCCCAGCGCCGAAUCCUGCCGCCCGGGCGGGCGGCCGGGAGAUGUGGCGUUCGGUAGGAGAGCGAAACUUAAACGCGCGGUCAUUAGUCACGGCUGCCAGUCCAAGUUCAUCUUGAACGGGGCCGCUUACCCGCAGAGGGUGCCAGGCCCGUGGUGACGGUAGCCGGCCGCGACGGUCUCCCUACCCAGAGUCGGGUUGCUUGAGAGUGCAGCCCUAAGCGGGUGGUAAACUCCAUCUAAGGCUAAACACUACCACGGGACCGAUAGCGAACA
rnacentral:rRNA from 1 species